rnacentral:rRNA from 1 species
UACGAAGGGGGCUAGCGUUGUUCGGAAUCACUGGGCGUAAAGGGCGCGUAGGCGGCCGAUUCAGUCGGGGGUGAAAGCCUGUGGCUCAACCACAGAAUUGCCUUCGAUACUGCUUGGCUUGAGACCGGAAGAGGUCAGUGGAACUGCGAGUGUAGAGGUGAAAUUCGUAGAUAUUCGCAAGAACACCAGUGGCGAAGGCGGCCGACUGGUCCGGUUCUGACGCUGAGGCGCGAAAGCGUGGGGAGCAAACAGG